UCCGGGGUAGCUCAACGGCAGAGCAAACGGCUGUUAACCGUUAGGUUCUGGGUUCGAAUCCCAGCCCCGGAGCCA
rnacentral:tRNA from 1 species